GAAAUGCGAUAAGUAAUGUGAAUUGCAGAAUUCCGUGAAUCAUCGAAUCUUUGAACGCACAUUGCGCCCCCUGGUAUUCCGGGGGGCAUGCCUGUCCGAGCGUCAUUUCAAACCCUCAAGCACGGCUUGUGUGAUGGGCCCCGGCGUCUCGUUCGCGAGACGGGCCCGAAAGGCAGCGGCGGCGUCGACCCGAUGAGCCCGAGCGUAUGGGGACUUCUGUCACACGUUCGCGGUGCGGACCGGCGCCUGCUUGACUUUUCUGAUUAUCCAGGUUGACCUCGGAUCAGGUAGGGAUACCCGCUGAACUUAAGC
rnacentral:misc_RNA from 1 species